CUCCCCACACACAACGGUCAAAGAGACACCUUGUUGGUGAUGUUCUUUUAUUAGUGAGGGGCAGAGCAGUGGGCAGUUCUUUGUUCAUCCUAGCUUGAUGCCUGGCUUGGUGUCCAAAGCUGUUUUAUGCCUAGGACUUAUAA